GUCGAACGGAUUAUUCUUUAUAGCUUGCUAUGAGAAUAAUUAGUGGCAGACGGGUGAGUAAUGCAUAGGAAUCUACCUAGUAGUAUAGGAUAGCCACUAGAAAUGGUGGGUAAUACUGUAUAAUCCCUGCGGGGGAAAGAUUUAUCGCUACAUGAUGAGCCUAUGUUAGAUUAGCUAGUUGGUGGGGUAAUGGCCUACCAAGGCAGUGAUCUAUAGCUGGUCUGAGAGGAUGAUCAGCCACACUGGAACUGAGACACGGUCCAGACUCCUACGGGAGGCAGCAGUGGGGAAUAUUGGACAAUGGGCGCAAGCCUGAUCCAGCUAUGCCGCGUGAGUGAGGAAGGCCUUAGGGUUGUAAAACUCUUUCAGUAGGGAAGAUAAUGACGGUACCUA
rnacentral:rRNA from 1 species